rnacentral:rRNA from 1 species
CAAACCAAAGCUGGCGACCGGCGCACGGGUGAGUAACACGUAUCCAACCUGCCCUUUACUCGGGGAUAGCCUUUCGAAAGAAAGAUUAAUACCCGAUAGCAUAAUGAUUCCGCAUGGUUUCAUUAUUAAAGGAUUCCGGUAAAGGAUGGGGAUGCGUUCCAUUAGGUUGUUGGUGAGGUAACGGCUCACCAAGCCUUCGAUGGAUAGGGGUUCUGAGAGGAAGGUCCCCCACAUUGGAACUGAGACACGGUCCAA